GACGAACGCUGGCGGCGUGCCUAAUACAUGCAAGUCGAGCGAAGUUUUUCUGGUGCUUGCACUAGAAAAACUUAGCGGCGAACGGGUGAGUAACACGUAAAGAACCUGCCUCAUAGACUGGGACAACUAUUGGAAGCGAUAGCUAAUACCGGAUAACAGUAUUUCUCGCAUGAGAGAUAUUUAAAAGUUGGUUAUGCUAACACUAUGAGAUGGCUUUGCGGUGCAUUAGCUAGUUGGUGGGGUAAAGGCCCACCAAGGCGACGAUGCAUAGCCGACCUGAGAGGGUGAUCGGCCACACUGGGACUGAGACACGGCCCAGACUCCUACGGGAGGCAGCAGUAGGGAAUCUUCCGCAAUGGGCGAAAGCCUGACGGAGCAACGCCGCGUGAGUGAAGAAGGAUUUCGGUUCGUAAAGCUCUGUUGUUAGGGAAGAAUGGAUAUGUAGUAACUAUACAUGUAAGAGACGGUACCUAACCAGAAAGCCACGGCUAACUACGUG
rnacentral:rRNA from 1 species